rnacentral:rRNA from 1 species
UACGUAGGGGGCGAGCGCUGUCCGGAUUCACUGGGCGUAAAGGGUGUGUAGGCGGACAGGCGGGUCGAUGGUGAAAGCCCCCGGCUCAACCGGGGAACUGCCGUCGAAACUACCUGUCUUGAGGGCAGGAGAGGGAGCUGGAACUUCCGGUGUAGCGGUAAAAUGCGUGGAUAUCGGAAGGAACGCCGAUGGCGAAGGCAGGCUCCUGGAAUGUUCCUGACGCUGAAACACGAAAGCUAGGGGAGCAAACAGG